rnacentral:tRNA from 1 species
GCUCACGUAGUUUAAUUUAAAACUUAACACUGAAGCUGUUAGAAUAGAACCUAAAAAGUCUCGUGAACA